rnacentral:rRNA from 1 species
GACGAACGCUGGCGGCGUGCUUAACACAUGCAAGUCGAACGGAAAGGCCCUGCUUUUGUGCGGUGCUCGAGUGGCGAACGGGUGAGUAACACGUGAGUAACCUGCCCUUGACUUUGGGAUAACUUAAGGAAACUGGGUCUCAUACCGGCUAGGAGCUCCUGCUGCAGGGUGGGGGUGGGAUGGUUUCGGCGGUUGGGGAUGGACCAGCGGCUCAUCAGCUUGUUGGGGGGGUAGUGGCUUACCAAGGCUUUGACGGGUAGCCGGCCUGAGAGGGUGACCGGCCACAUUGGGACUGACCUGCGGCCCGGACUACUACGGGAGGCAGCGGUGGAGAAUAUUGCACAAUACGCGGAGGCCUGAUGCAGAAACGCCGCGUGCGGGAUGACGGCCUUCGGGUUGUAACCCGCUUUCGCCUGUGACGAAGCGUGAGUGACGGUAAUGGGUAAAGAAGCACCGGCUAACUACGUG